AGCGAUGAAAUUGAGAAAAAGUA
rnacentral:siRNA from 1 species